GCUGAGGUAGCUCAGUUGGCAGAGCGCGUCUUUGGUAAAGACGAGGUCACGGGUCCGAUUCCCGUCCUCAGCUC
rnacentral:tRNA from 1 species